UGUACAAGUAGUCAAGCAAUAAAAAGAUAACCACAGCAUAUUUGCUUGCAGAGUGCUCUCCUCAUUUCUCUACAAAUCAAGUUACAGAUAUCAGGAUACUGGUGACCUGAUCGAGGAAAGUUGCACCCUUUUCCUGAGCCAAGCGGGCGAAGCGUUUUGGGAUACUAUAUUUUUUCUAUUAAAAUACUACAUUGGUGGUCGGGAUUAAAAAAAAACAAAAACACAUUGGUGUUCAGUAGAACUCGUGGCUUCAGGACCUCAACUUCGCCUCCUUUUGUGGCUCCGGGUCUUUUCUACGCUUUCGGAGUUCGGCUGGCCACAGGCUUCGGCGCUCCCAAGGGAGGGCCCAGCUCUUUCAAAACUGUAGCACUGCCGGCCCCCCUUCAUGCCCGAGACACUUGACACUAGUGAUCCCUGAUUCAGUAGCUGUAGGUGCAAAAUCUAUUUACCCUGGCGAACUCCAGAUCUGAUGGGGAGACAGCAUUGUCAGUUCUCUUCGCACUGUAGCUGAGCGAGGCGUCGGAGAUGAUUGAGAAAGGGACGGAGAUGCCGACAGCCAGUAAUAUUGCUGUGGCCAUUGUGUCAUCUGCUUAUAUGACUUCAAGGAGGGAGAUUCACUGACCAAGACGCCAUGUUUCCACCAUUUCCAUUCACACUGCUUGGGUCCGUAUGCAGAGCACAGUAUGGAACAGAAGAAAAUGAAGGAGAUGUAUACCCCAGAUCAUGCUACUCUAAAGAAACAGAAGGAGCUGUGCCAGAUUUACUUUCAUCAGGAUCCAAGAGAGACCCGAAAGAUACGACUUAAGCGUGAUGGUAAACCAGCCAUGAGUAGAGGCCCUGAAGUGCCAGGAUGGUGAAACUACAAGGGCCGCAAUUUUAGGAGUGGUGCAAUAGUACAGCCACUUCCCAGAGGCAGAGGAGAACAAUUUAUGAAAAACAAUCCCCUUUAGCACAUAAUUAUUCGGCAGAACUUUUAUACAAAUGAGAUUAUAUAAUAAUUUAUGCAGAAACAGCACUGCGCUCAUCCACGGCCAUGUGCAAUGACAGACUCAAUGCUGUGUGAAUAAAGGGCAGAUAUAAAGAU